rnacentral:rRNA from 1 species
AUUGAACGCUGGCGGCAGGCCUAACACAUGCAAGUCGAACGAGUGGCGGACGGGUGAGUAAUGUCUGGGAAACUGCCCGAUGGAGGGGGAUAACUACUGGAAACGGUAGCUAAUACCGCAUACCAUCGGAUGUGCCCAGAUGGGAUUAGCUAGUAGGUGGGGUAACGGCUCGCCUAGGCGACGAGCCCUAGCUGGGCUGAGAGGCUGACCAGCCACCAGGGAACUGAGCCACGGUCAAGACGCCUACGGGAGGCAGCAGUGGGAAAUAUUGCACAUUGGGCGCAAGCCUGAUGCAGCCAUGCCGCGUGUAUGAAGAAGGCCUGCGGGUUGUAAAGUACUUUCAGCGAGGAGGCGUUACUCGCAGAAGAAGCACCGGCUAACUCCGUGCCAGCAGCCGCGGUAAUUC